rnacentral:rRNA from 1 species
UGUCAGCAGCCGCGGUAAUACGGAGGGUGCAAGCGUUGUUCGGAAUUACUGGGCGUAAAGCGCGCGUAGGCGGUUUGUUAAGUCAGAUGUGAAAGCCCCAGGCUUAACCUGGGACGUGCAUUUGAAACUGACAGACUUGAGUAUUGGAGGGGGUGGUGGAAUUCCCGGUGUAGAGGUGAAAUUCGUAGAUAUCGGGAGGAAUACCGGUGGCGAAGGCGACCACCUGGCCAAAUACUGACGCUGAGGUGCGAAGGCGUGGGGAGCAAACAGGAUUAGAUACCCUGGUAGUCCACGCGGUAAACGAUGAGAACUAGGUGUUGGGACGGUUGAUCGUCUCAUUGCCGCAGCUAACGCAUUAAGUUCUCCGCCUGGGGAGUACGGUCGCAAGAUUAAAACUCAAAUGAAUUGGCGG